rnacentral:rRNA from 1 species
GACGAACGCUGGCGGCGUGCCUAACACAUGCAAGUCCAGGAGAAAGGAUUUCUUCGGAGGUCUGAGUAAACUGGCGAACGGGUGAGUAACACGUAGGUAACCUGCCCUUGGAUUUGGGAUAACAUUGCUAACGCGGUGCUAAUACCGAAUAAUGCAGCGGAUCCGCAUGGAUAUGUUGUUAAAGCUGGCCUCUACUUGUAAGCUAGCGUCUAAGGAUGGACCUGCGUCCCAUUAGUUUGUUGGCGGGGUAACGGCCCACCAAGACUACGAUGGGUGGCCGGCCUGAGAGGGUGACCGGCCACACUGGGAUUGAGAUACGGCCCAGACUCCUACGGGAGGAAGCAGUGGGGAAUCUUCGGCAAUGGGCGAAAGCCUGACUGAGCAACGCCGCGUGAGCGAUGAAGGCCUUCGGGUCGUAAAGCUCUGUUGUUAGAGAAGAACAAGUACGAGAGUAACUGCUCGUACCUUGACGGUACCUAACCAGAAAGCCACGGCUAACUACGUGCCAGCCGCCGCCGUAACAC